rnacentral:rRNA from 1 species
UACAGAGACUGCAAGCGUUAUUCGGAUUCACUGGGCGUAAAGGGUGCGCAGGCGGCCAAGUGUGUGAGGCGUGAAAGCCCGGGGCUUAACCCCGGAAUUGCACCUCAAACUACAUGGCUAGAGCAUUGGAGAGGGUAACGGAAUUCACGGUGUAGCAGUGAAAUGCGUAGAUAUCGUGAGGAACACCAGAGGCGAAGGCGGCUACCUGGACAAUUGCUGACGCUCAGGCACGAAAGCGUGGGGAGCAAAAGGG